AAUAUAUGUAGAAACCAGUAGUCUAUUUUAUCAUUCACUACCAUUAAGAUAUAUACAACUCUAUUACAAAAGGUUAAAAUUUAUCAAAAAUACAUAACACAGGCCACACAUGGUGCCAUUUGCAGUCGAGAGAAAUGUAAACAAAUGUAAAGAUGCAGUGUUGAAUCAUAACUGCAUAAAAUUAACUAUAGUGCAUACUCUAUUACUAUAAUAAUUUUGUUGCCACCUCCUGUUGCUACUGUGGUGAGCCCAAGUGUUCCAGUAUCUGCUUAAAAUACCAUGGGAUGCUAAUCAUCUUUAAGCGAGCAGUUCGUCUCCCCAGUGAAUUACAUAUCUCAGUAAAACACAUAAAGUGAUCUUUUGUGGCUCUUGCAUAUUUUUCAUCAUGUUUCGUGCAGUACCGUAAACCUUGAGUAACACCAUGGGAUCCAUACAAAGUGCCACUACUGAUGCUGGAAGUGCUCCCAAGAAACAGAGGAAAGUCAUGACAUUACAAGAAAAAGGUGGAUUGCUUGAUAUGUACCGUAGAUUGAGGUCUGCUGCUGUGGUUGCCCGCUAUUUCAAGAUAAAUGAAUCCAGCCAAAAACCGUUGUUUAAAAAAAAAAAAAAAAAAAAGGAAAGGAAAUUUCUGAAGUCAUUGCUGCAGCUAUAGCAGCAGGAAUAAAAAUCUUGCACUUUCUGAGAAAUACCUUUUUAUCUCAUAAUGAAAAUGCAGCUUUUAUGUGUGUGCAGGAUAGCUAUAAGAAAGGCAUAACUAUAUAUUCUAAUGACUGGAGAAAAAGCAAAGUCGUUGUAUUAAAAAUUAAAGCAAAAGGAAGGUGAAGGAUCUAAAGCUGGAGAAUCUAAAGCCAGCAAAGGAUGGUUUGAUAAUUUUAGAAGAGGUUUAGCUUAAAAAAAAAAAAAAAAAUCAAGAUAACAGAAGCAGCAGCUUCUGCCAACCAAGAGGCAGCAGAUGAGUUCCCAGAUGCCAUUAAGAAAAUUACUGAGGAGAAAGGAUAUCUACCUGAACAGGUUUUUAGUGCAGAUGGAAGUGCCCUAUCUGGAACAGAGAGCAGGGGGAUGCCACAAAGAACAUUCACUAGUAAGGAAGAGAUGGGAGCCCCAGGACUUAAGGCAGGAGGAAGAGGCUAAUUCUACUGUUUUGUGCAAAUGCAGGAGGGUUUAUGAUCAGGACUGCCCUUAUCCACAAAGCUGCUAAUUCCAGAACCUUGAAGGGAAAA